rnacentral:rRNA from 1 species
UACGUAGGCAGCGAGCGUUGUUCGGAGUUACUGGGCGUAAAGGGUGUGUAGGCGGUUGUUUAAGUUUGGUGUGAAAUCUCCCGGCUCAACUGGGAGGGUGCGCCGAAUACUGAAUGACUUGGAGUGCGGGAGAGGAAAGUGGAAUUCCUGGUGUAGCGGUGAAAUGCGUAGAUAUCAGGAGGAACACCGGUGGUGUAGACGGCUUUCUGGACCGUAACUGACGCUGAGACACGAAAUCGUGGGUAGCAAACAGG